GGUUAAGCUAAUAAGAGCACACGGAGGAUGCCUAGGCACCAGGAGCCGAAGAAGGACGUGGCGAACGACGAAAUGCCUCGGGGAGCCGUAAGCAGGCUUUGAUCCGGGGAUGUCCGAAUGGGGGAACCCGCGUGAGGUAAUACUCACGUACCACACAGUGAAUACAUAGCUGUGUAGGAGGCAGACGAGGGGAACUGAAACAUCUAAGUACCCUCAGGAAAAGAAAACAAAAGUGAUUCCGUCAGUAGCGGCGAGCGAAAGCGGAACAGCCCAAACCAAGGGGCUUGCCCCUUGGGGUUGUAGGACGUCAAUGUGAGUGCAGGUUGGUAGGCGAACAGGUCUGGAAAGGCCGGCCAAAGUGGGUAACAGCCCCGUAACCGAAAGCAACCGAGACUCUAGACGGAUCCUGAGUACGGCGGGACACGUGAAACCCCGUCGGAAUCCGGCAGGACCAUCUGCCAAGGCUAAAUACUCCCUGGUGACCGAUAGUGAAGCAGUACCGUGAGGGAAAGGUGAAAAGAACCGCGGGAGCGGAGUGAAAAAGAACCUGAAACCGUGUGCUUACAAGAAGUCAGAGCUCGUUAAUGAGUGAUGGCGUGCCUUUUGUAGAAUGAACCGGCGAGUUACGUUUACGCGCAAGGUUAAGGUGAGAAGCCGGAGCCGCAGCGAAAGCGAGUCUGAAUAGGGCGAAUAAGUACGUAGACGUAGACCCGAAACCGUGUGAUCUACCCCUGUCCAGGGUGAAGGUGCGGUAACACGCACUGGAGGCCCGAACCCACGAAUGUUGAAAAAUUCGGGGAUGAGGUGGGGGUAGCGGAGAAAUUCCAAUCGAACUCGGAGAUAGCUGGUUCUCCCCGAAAUAGCUUUAGGGCUAGCCUCGGGUGAUGAGUCGCGGAGGUAAAGCACUGAUUGGGUGCGGGGCCCGCCAAGGGUUACCAAGUCCAGUCAAACUCUGAAUGCCGCAGACUUUAACCCGGGAGUCAGACAGUGAGUGCUAAGAUCCAUUGUCAAGAGGGAAACAGCCCAGAUCAUCAGCUAAGGUCCCCAAGUGUGUGUUAAGUGGGAAAGGAUGUGGAGUUGCAAAGACAACCAGGAUGUUGGCUUAGAAGCAGCCACCAUUGAAAGAGUGCGUAAUAGCUCACUGGUCGAGUGACUCUGCGCCGAAAAUGUAACGGGGCUAAACACACCACCGAAGCUAUGAGUCCAAUUAUGGGCAGUAGGGGAGCGUUGUAACAGCGGUGAAGGUUGAUCGUGAGGACAGCUGGAGCGGUUACAAGUGAGAAUGCCGGUAUGAGUAACGAAAAGACAAGUGAGAAUCUUGUCCGCCGUAAGCCUAAGGGUUCCUGAGGAAGGUUCGUCCGCUCAGGGUAAGUCGGGACCUAAGGCGAGGCCGAAAGGCGUAGUCGAAGGACAACAGGUUGAAAUUCCUGUACCACCGUGAACCGUUAUGAGCAAUGGGGUGACGCAGAAGGAUAGUGACGCGGACUGAUGGAUGUCCGUCCAAGCAGCGAGGCUGGUUAGUAGGCAAAUCCGCUAACCGAAAGGCUGGGCUGUGAUGGGGAGCGAAAUUUAAGUAGCGAAGGUCAUGAGUUCAAGCUGCCAAGAAAAGCCUCUAGCCAGGGAGAAGGUGCCCGUACCGCAAACCGACACAGGUAGGCGAGCAGAGCAUGCUAAGGCGCUCGGAAGAACUCUCGUUAAGGAACUCGGCAAAAUGACCCCGUAACUUCGGGAGAAGGGGUGCCUCGGUAGGGUGAAUAGCCCGAGGGGGCCGCAGUGAAAAGGCCCAAGCGACUGUUUAGCAAAAACACAGGUCUGUGCGAAGCCGCAAGGCGAAGUAUACGGGCUGACGCCUGCCCGGUGCUGGAAGGUUAAGGGGAGCGGUUAGGGGUUAAACCCGAAGCUGUGAACCGAAGCCCCAGUAAACGGCGGCCGUAACUAUAACGGUCCUAAGGUAGCGAAAUUCCUUGUCAGGUAAAUUCUGACCCGCACGAAUGGCGUAACGACUUGGGCGCUGUCUCGACGAGAGAUCCGGUGAAAUUUUAAUACCUGUGAAGAUGCAGGUUACCCGCGACAAGACGGAAAGACCCCAUGGAGCUUUACUGCAGCUUGAUAUUGGACUUUGGUACGAUCUGUACAGGAUAGGUGGGAGCCUAGGAAGCCGGAGCGCCAGCUUCGGUGGAGGCGCCGUUGGGAUACCACCCUGAUCGUAUCGGAGUUCUAACCUGGCACCAUUAGCUGGUGUGGGGACAGUGUCAGGUAGGCAGUUUGACUGGGGCGGUCGCCUCCUAAAGAGUAACGGAGGCGCCCCAAGGUUCCCUCAGAAUGGUUGGAAAUCAUUCGAAGAGUGCAAAGGCAUAAGGGAGCUUGACUGCGAGACAAACAGGUCGAGCAGGGACGAAAGUCGGGCUUAGUGAUCCGGUGGUACCGAAUGGAAGGGCCAUCGCUCAACGGAUAAAAGCUACCCUGGGGAUAACAGGCUUAUCUCCCCCAAGAGUCCACAUCGACGGGGAGGUUUGGCACCUCGAUGUCGGCUCAUCGCAUCCUGGGGCUGAAGUAGGUCCCAAGGGUUGGGCUGUUCGCCCAUUAAAGCGGUACGCGAGCUGGGUUCAGAACGUCGUGAGACAGUUCGGUCCCUAUCUGUCGCGGGCGUAGGAAAUUUGAGAGGAGCUGUCCUUAGUACGAGAGGACCGGGAUGGACGUACCGCUGGUGUACCAGUUGUCUCGCCAGAGGCACGGCUGGAUAGCCAAGUACGGAAGGGAUAAGCGCUGAAAGCAUCUAAGCGUGAAGCCCCCCUCAAGAUGAGAUUUCCCAGUAUGUAAGACCCCUUGUAGACGACGAGGUAGAUAGGUUCGGGGUGGAAGCGCGGCAACGUGUGGAGCUGACGAAUACUAAUCGGUCGAGGGCUUAUCCAA
rnacentral:rRNA from 1 species